GUUACCAGGCGACGGCGUGGCGCCAGGCAAGCCGGGACUUGUAGUCCGCCUGGAAGAGGCGGGCACUUGAGGCACGGCAGUCCCGCGAUCCGUGCGCUUUUGCUACGUCUGAGGAACCUUGCCGGGAGAUUGGUUCUUGCAGCGUGGUCCCAAAUCUGACCUCCCUGAGCUGGCAACUUGCAAGAGACUCUUCAGAGAUUUCAGGUAUCCCCCAAGAUACAGAAGCCAAGUUAUGGAGUCCACAACGAAUAGUGAGAAAUCCAGAAAUAGACUAUUGGUAUAUUCACUCUGGGCCAUUCUUGAUGCUCAGUACCACUCCAGAUCUCCAGCUACUCAAUAUAAAGGUAAUGAUAAUCCUUCAAGUAUAUACAAAAUUUUAUGUUUUCAUAGGCUUUAAAAUAAUCCAUAGUGUUGGGGCACCUGGGUGGCUCAGUUGGUUAAGCAUCCGACUCU